GGUUUACAAGGCCAGAGAUAAGAAUACCAACCAAAUUGUCGCCAUUAAGAAAAUCAAACUUGGACAUAGAUCAGAAGCUAAAGAUGGUUAUAAUAAAGGAUAAUAGUCUUGUGCUGACAACAUCACACAUCAAAGCCUGCAUGUUGAUGACUCUUCAAGGAUUAGAAUAUUUACAUCAACAUUGGAUCCUACAUAGGGAUCUGAAACCAAGCAACUUGUUGCUAGAUGAAAAUGGAGUUCUAAAACUGGCAGAUUUUGGCCUGGCCAAAUCAUUUGGGAGCCCCAGUAGAGCUUAUACAUAUCAGGUUGCAACCAGGUGGUAUCAGGCCCCUGAGUUACUAUUUGGAGCUAGGAUGUAUGGUGUAGGUGUGGACAUGUGGGCUGUUGGCUGUAUAUUAGCAGAGUUACUUCUAAGGGUUCCUUUUUUGUCAGGAGAUUCAGAGCUUGAUCAGCUAACAAGAAUAUUUGGGCACACCAACUGAGGAACAGUGGCCGGACAUGUGUAGUCUUCCAGAUUAUGUGACAUUUAAGAGUUUCCCUGGAAUCCCAUGGCAUCACAUCUUCAGUGCAGCAGGAGACGACUUACUAGAUCUCAUACAAGGCUUAUUAUUUAAUCCAUGUGCUCGAAUUACGGCCACACAGGCACUGAAAAUGAAGUGUUUCAGUAAUCGGCCAGGGCCAACACCUGGAUGUCAGCUGCCAA
rnacentral:lncRNA from 1 species